GUCUCGUCACCUCCUAAGCUUUCUGAUUUGUAUCUCCUGGUACAGUCCAAUGGUGGUGAUCAAUCGGAGACCAGUCAGACAGGGGUGAAUGCUUUCAUUUGCUGGACAUGUUUUAAAAAAAUCCCCCAAAAAUAGAGUGAAGACUUUUACUAAAAGGAUUUGGUCAAAAUAUGCAAACUACAGUAGUACUCCUAGCCUGUUAAGAUUCAGGUCCUGAAUCCCUGUUAACCAAUCAAAUCAGAGGACAGGACCUUAGUGCCUCAACACUGAGUUCCAAGCCUUAAGUGAAACCUGAAGGUUACAUAAUUAUCUGUGCGUGAUGGUCUCUGAACCCCUGAGGUGCCGUUGUUCCUGUGGCUAAUGCGCCUGCUCUUCUGCUCUUCUGGUCUCAAAGCUCCGGGCUUGCCAAGGAGAUGAAGACGAGCGGGAGAUAUGUAGCAGACAGAUAACAGUGGACAGAUGCCAAGUUAAUUGUAUUUUCAUUGCUGCUUUACUCUGUCUAAUGCAGUUUUAAGCACUAAUACGUUUGUGACAGGGCCUGUUGGGAAGAUCAGAAGAGAACUAGUCUACCUGGCAGGGUUUUUGGGAGAAGGUACCUCUGAUUGUUCAGACAGUUUGGCAAACGUGUGAUUGUUCAUGCAGUUGAGGCAGAGUUAAGAAAAUAAAACACUCCACCAACUGGCUGGUUCAAGUGAAUCUGUUAGCCCACCUGCAAACCCUUUCUCUGUGCUGGCAUCUGGGAUGUAAAACUGGGAUGUACUGGAAGGCAGUGACCAUGGUACCUCUUCCAAUAGUGGCUAAGAUGGCCCUGGAACAGGAUAAUACAUUAGUGUGAAUGACAAAAGCACCUUGUGCUGGGAGUUAAUGGCAGUUGCAUUGAUUAUCAUGGCAUGUGUGAAGGAGGCUGGAAGCUAAAUGAUGAACAGACGCAGAAGCUGUCUUCAUGUCGGU